UUCCUGGUAGCUCAGUGGUUUAGAGUUGCGUGCUUAUGUCACGCCGGUCGAGAGUUCAAACCUCUUCCAGGAAA
rnacentral:tRNA from 2 species